rnacentral:rRNA from 1 species
AGUGAACGCUGGCGGUAGGCCUAACACAUGCAAGUCGAACGGCAGCACAGUAAGAGCUUGCUCUUACGGGUGGCGAGUGGCGGACGGGUGAGGAAUACAUCGGAAUCUACUUUUUCGUGGGGGAUCACGUAGGGAAACUUACGCUAAUACCGCAUACGCCCUACGGGUGAAAGCAGGGGAUUUUCGGACCUUGCGCGAUUGUAUGAGCCGAUGUCGGAUUAGCUAGUUGGCGGGGUAAAGGCCCACCAAGGCGACGAUCCGUAGCUGGUCUGAGAGGAUGAUCAGCCACACUGGAACUGAGACACGGUCCAGACUCCUACGGGAGGCAGCAGUGGGGAAUAUUGGACAAUGGGCGCAAGCCUGAUCCAGCCAUGCCGCGUGGGUGAAGAAGGCCUUCGGGUUGUAAAGCCCUUUUGUUGGGAAAGAAAAGCAGCAGGUUAAUACCCCGCUGUUCUGACGGUACCCAAAGAAUAAGCACCGGCUAACUUCGUG